rnacentral:tRNA from 1 species
UGGUGCGGGCUUAGGGAUUCGAACCCUAGUCUCUUGGGUGGAAGCCAAGAAUAAUAACCAGACUAUACGAAACCCGC